UUGACAGCUCCAUAAAGUGAAGUCCUCUAAUCAUCCAGAACAAGUACAGCACAGACAGUGGCAGUGCAAGCUUUCCUACCCUACUCCGGCACGCCUCAACCUUAUUCCGAAGGGAAUCACUACUAUGGGUAAACACACAGACUUGUCUUCAUGCCCAUUUAAUCCUUCACCUGC
rnacentral:sRNA from 1 species